GAGCUUAACUGGAGAAGUGGGAACUGCUAAUUACCCACGGCCACAGUUCAAUUCUGUGGUUUGCUCA
rnacentral:tRNA from 1 species